rnacentral:lncRNA from 1 species
GGUGGGUUAUAUUUUGGUUGCGAGAUUCUACUCUAGUUAGGGUGUCGGGUUUCGUGGUUGGGUUAUUGAAAAGAUGGAUGAAGUGAAGGGAGGCUAGGUGAAUCACAUGUUGGGUUAUUUGUUGAUGGGAUCCGUUUUAGGAACUAAAUGGAGAUCCACGAAGAGAGCAUAAACUUAAACUAAGGCUAAGAUAUUAGAAGAAGAAGAAGGAAUUUCAAGCUUAUUCUUGUUUACCUUUAUGGUUACAACUAACUUCAAACAAAAAUCAAAAUUUUUAUGAAGUAAGGCUUUUUAAUUCUAUUAAAAAUAAGAAAUUCAAUAUUAAGAAGCCUUCUUCUAAAAAAUUAUUGCUAUAUAUCUUCUUGGUAAAAACAAAACUAAUUAGAAAUGUGUUUGAUGCUUAUUGCAGAUUAGCAUUUGAUCCAAGAGAAAUUCAUGUUAUCCCAAGAAAUAAAGAAAUAAAACCAUUUCAAGACGACCUGCUCCCAAGAUGUUGAGGAGCUUCUUGAUAAUAAAGGUGAUUGCCAGAUUUGAGGAGAAAUCCCUUUUCAAGAGGGAGGAAAUGAUGGCAUAUUUCUCAAUAAGCCUUCUCUAGUGUCCUCUAAUUGUAUUUUGAUGUUCAUUAUAUGGUUUUUAUAAGCUUGCAUGAAGCAUGUGUUACUAUAAAUACCCAACUUCACCAUUGUAUUCUCACUUUUGAGAUAAUUGAGAAUUGAGUUUUUGAAUUCUAGAACUGAUUUCCCCUUAAAAGUCAAGGCUAGAGAAUUCUAGGGAUCCUCCCCUAGCCACCUUCCACACACACUAUUCAUUCGUUCUUUCAGUUUGCACCUUCAGUUUCUAUCUCCUUCACCGAAGCCAAGUUCUCUAAUCUGCAUCUGCCUUUUGGCUCGCGUCAGCUAUCCACUAAACACCUCUCCACGAGCUAUCUAAAUUACCUCGCGUCAUCAACU